rnacentral:rRNA from 1 species
CCUACGGGAGGCAGCAGUAGGGAAUUGUUCGCAAUGGGCGCAAGCCUGACGACGCAACGCCGCGUGGAGGAUGAAGACCCUCGGGUCGUAAACUCCUUUCGACCGAGAUGAACAUCCAUGGGGCUAAUACCCCCGUGGACUGACAGUAUCGGGAGAAGAAGCACCGGCUAACUCCGUGCCAGCAGCCGCGGUAAU